GACUCUAUCUCAAAAAUAAAAUAAAAUUCUGCUGUGUUAUUUUUCAAAAUAAUGAAAGAAAAUUCAAGAAAAACCUCUGAGGUAGUAAGACAUGAAUAGACCAAGGAUAAUUGAAAAACAUUUAUCUUAUGCUAACUUUUCUCAUAUACCUGGGUGCAUAUUCAUGGAAGGAGUGUAAAUUGACACAUUUCUGGUGAACAACUGAGAAAAAUAUAUUAAAAUUACAAAUUGAAGAUGGUUUUGAACAUAAGAGUAUUUUGUACUUAUAUUAAGGGUGAGAAUGUUUCUUGAUGUGUGCUUCGAGGCUGAAGUAGCUCUCCUAGUUUAAUGCUGCUGGCCUCUCUUCUCCUCCUCAUUUGCUUUUCCCUAAGAAAGGAGGGGUGACUCCUCUAAUUGUUAAAUGUGUAAAGAAUAAGCGGGGAAGGCCGCAUUCUGCCCAUCAUCUUCCUAAAACCUGCAUGGGGAGAUUUGUGUUUGAAGAACAUUGCCUAUGAUUAAAUGGAAAGAGAUCCAGAAUUGGGAAACUGUCUUAUCUUCAAAUGUAAGCCACAUGCUUCAACAUCAGCUGUCAUCAGUAAUGAAGGUGACAUUUUAAACACCUGUCUGCUUCUUUUGUCUUACUUCCUAAUUGGCUUAGAAUUUGGGUGAGGAUGAGGAGUGUCAUUUAUUGCUGUAAGAUCCAAACACACAUCUACGGAUUUAUCCUACAGACAUACUUAUAUAUGUGUGACGUUACAUGUGUACAAGGUUAAUCAUUGUAGCAUUGUUUAUAAUACCAAAAGACUGAGAGCAAUCUAAAUGUCCAUAUAGAGGAUUAUUUAAAUAAGACACUGUUGCACAAUGGACUACUAUGCAUCCAAAAAAAAAAUAGUAAGCUCCAAGAUAUAUUAAAAAAACAAAAUCACAAAACAAAAACAAGAAUUGUGAGUAUAGUAUGCUAUAAAUUAUGCAAGAAAAAGAGAAAUAUUUAAAUAUCUGCUAAUACCUUUAUACCAUAUUUCAGAAAUAUUAUGUAAGAAAUUGGUCGGUUUAUUUAUUUUAUUUUGCCUCCAGGGAAGAAAACCUGUCACGUAGGUGCAUUUUCUAUUUGAUACUCCCUAAAGUCACAGAAAUCAUGGGCCUGCCCACAGAAAAACACAAGAAGAUGAGGUGAAAAAUUCCUAGGCCCUGCCAUGCAGCCACAGAAAAUGGGAACCUGCCUGACUGUGGACAUCAGAUGAAUUUCAAGGCCCAGAACCUGGAUAGCAUGGUUCACUGAGUCUGAGAAUGAUCACCUUAUAUGAUAGUAUAAGUUGUUUCCGAGCUGAUAUAACUGGGAAUAUAGAAGGCGGGGAGCCUGUCAUUCUCUGCCUCUUUGACCUGGUAGAUACCUCACUGUGCAGAAUUGACAAGAAUGCAAACUUUGUGUGUAUUCUGGGACAUACAAGGGAGGCAAUGGGAAGCCAUAUUUAUUCUCCUGCGUCUCUAUCUUGUUUAUAUUCUUUGCUCUGCUUCUUAGUUCAUUCAAAACUAAACCAAAGUAAAAUCAACUUGAAUGAAAUCCAAGUCUUUAUUCUCGCCAUUCCCCAAACUCAGGCCAGAUUCCAUGGUCUGAUUUUCAGCUUACAUUGUAUUGUCUAGCUCUGUUUUUACAGUGAACACAUACAUUUAAUAAAAGGUGACAAUUU